UACGAAGGGGGCUAGCGUUGUUCGGAAUUACUGGGCGUAAAGCGCGCGCAGGCGGCUAUCCAAGUCAGUGGUGAAAGCCCGGAGCUCAACUCCGGAAUUGCCAUUGAAACUGUUUAGCUUGAGGACGAGAGAGGUGAGUGGAAUUCCCAGUGUAGAGGUGAAAAUUCGUAGAUAUUGGGAAGAACACCGGUGGCGAAGGCGGCUCACUGGCUCGUUUCUGACGCUCAGGCGCGACAGCGUGGGGAUCGAAACAAGG
rnacentral:rRNA from 1 species